UUCGUUCGUUCGUUCGUUCGUUCGUUCGUUCGUUCGUUCGUUCGUUCGUUCGUUCGUUCGUUCGUUCGUUCGUUCGUUCGUUCGUUCGUUCUUAGAUCAAUGUCCCUGCAUUUUGGUAACAUUUUUUCGAAUGGUAACCUUUGUUUCAGGAUUUGAUAGAUCUCUUCGGAGAAAAAGUAUAUUGUACUAAAUAUGGUCUGUUCUGAACAUAUUUAAGUCGCAAAGCAUUGGAGUAAAUAUGCCAUAACAUUUUCAAACAAAGACAGCGCAAAUGGUACAAAAAGGAAUUUGGUCUGAGAAACGCUCAAUUUUUUGUCUUUUUUCACCGGACUCAGCACGGCAGUGAAGUCGCAAUCAACCUCGUCUCUUCUGUCAUACCCGCAAGUAUUCAUAGCGAAUAAUUGUUGAAGCUAGGAAGCAAAAUAUUUUGAAAUGUUCCUGUUAUACUUUUACUCAGCUUGCAACUCUAGACAAGUGCUUAUUUGAAAUGUUGGAAAAAAACAAAAUGUGCAAAAGUUUCUAAAAUUGCCAGGUUUUAAUCAACUCAGUUUAUAUUUGGCACAAAGUUGCGUCAGAGAGUUACAUUUGUUAACAUGAUUUUUCCGGAAUUUUUCAUUAAAUAGUUUUCCCGAAAUUUACAAUUUUCAUGAAAAAUUGCAUGUUACAACAAGGAAAUUUUCCUUUUUGUAACAUAAAAUAAUCCUUUUUCUAAGAUAAAAGUUUUUCUUUCCAGAAUUGAGAGUUCCAAAGGAUCUAGUUUAGACUUAUACAUGAACUAAUAAUGUGCGGCCAAGCAAAAAUGCCACAAUUUACCUAAAAAAGCUACUUUGUGAUCAGAAAUAUUAUUCAGCUGGUUUGGCUUUUUUUCAUGAUAUGUUUGCGUAUAAUAUUUUAACUCUAUUAAAAUCCAAUUAGUAACUUUAAAUGCAUAUAAAAAUAGUGCCACUGAAAUGCAAGACAAACUGGGGAAUUUUUCUCCGAUUUUUAAAAUACGGCAUUUUCAGGUGUCUGUACGUUUUAGAAUAGCCCCAAAGUACUUGCCUAUGUUGCCCCACCUAGUACCGAGAGAGAAACUGGGCCGAGUCACGAGUUCAGAGACAAAGCUCAGCUCUGCUAGUCUGUUGUUUGUAAAUUACAAAAGAAGAAAGUCGCCGUCGUUUUAUAUCUAUUUACUAAAUAUCUGGAUCGAUUGUGGAUUUGUAGUCCUGGUUGAGGUAAGUUUGGUAUUAUUUCUUUAUAUUAAAAUUAUGUGUUCCUUGAUUAACACGGGGCAUUUCAUAUUAAUCAUAGAAAUA